rnacentral:rRNA from 1 species
UACGUAGGGUGCAAGCGUUGUCCGGAAUUAUUGGGCGUAAAGAGCUCGUAGGCGGUUUGUCGCGUCUGCUGUGAAAACUCGGGGCUCAACUCCGAGCUUGCAGUGGGUACGGGCAGACUAGAGUGCGGUAGGGGAGACUGGAAUUCCUGGUGUAGCGGUGGAAUGCGCAGAUAUCAGGAGGAACACCGGUGGCGAAGGCGGGUCUCUGGGCCGUAACUGACGCUGAGGCACGAAAGCGUGGGUAGCAAACAGG